GACGAACGCUGGCGGCGUGCUUAACACAUGCAAGUCGAACGGAAAGGCCCUGCUUUUGUGGGGUGCUCGAGUGGCGAACGGGUGAGUAACACGUGAGUAACCUGCCCUUGACUUUGGGAUAACUUCAGGAAACUGGGGCUAAUACCGGAUAGGAGCUCCUGCUGCAUGGUGGGGGUUGGAAAGUUUCGGCGGUUGGGGAUGGACUCGCGGCUUAUCAGCUUGUUGGUGGGGUAGUGGCUUACCAAGGCUUUGACGGGUAGCCGGCCUGAGAGGGUGACCGGCCACAUUGGGACUGAGGUACGGCCCAGACUCCUACGGGAGGCAGCAGUGGGGAAUAUUGCACAAUGGGCGGAAGCCUGAUGCAGCAACGCCGCGUGCGGGAUGACGGCCUUCGGGUUGUAAACCGCUUUCGCCUGUGACGAAGCGUGAGUGACGGUAAUGGGUAAAGAAGCACCGGCUAACUACGUGCCAGCAGCCGCGGUGAUACGUAGGGUGCGAGCGUUGUCCGGAUUUAUUGGGCGUAAAGGGCUCGUAGGUGGUUGAUCGCGUCGGAAGUGUAAUCUUGGGGCUUAACCCUGAGCGUGCUUUCGAUACGGGUUGACUUGAGGAAGGUAGGGGAGAAUGGAAUUCCUGGUGGAGCGGUGGAAUGCGCAGAUAUCAGGAGGAACACCAGUGGCGAAGGCGGUUCUCUGGGCCUUUCCUGACGCUGAGGAGCGAAAGCGUGGGGAGCGAACAGGCUUAGAUACCCUGGUAGUCCACGCUGUAAACGGUGGGUACUAGGUGUGGGGUCCAUUCCACGGGUUCCGUGCCGUAGCUAACGCUUUAAGUACCCCGCCUGGGGAGUACGGCCGCAAGGCUAAAACUCAAAGGAAUUGACGGGGCCCCGCACAAGCGGCGGAGCAUGCGGAUUAAUUCGAUGCAACGCGUAGAACCUUACCUGGGUUUGACAUGGAUCGGGAGUGCUCAGAGAUGGGUGUGCCUCUUUUGGGGUCGGUUCACAGGUGGUGCAUGCCUGUCGUCAGCUCGUGUCGUGAGAUGUUGGGUUAAGUCCCGCAACGAGCGCAACCCUUGUUCACUGUUGCCAGCACGUUAUGGUGGGGACUCAGUGGAGACCGCCGGGGUCAACUCGGAGGAAGGUGGGGAUGACGUCAAGUCCUCAUGCCCCUUAUGUCCAGGGCUUCACGCAUGCUACAAUGGCUGGUACAGAGAGUGGCGAGCCUGUGAGGGUGAGCGAAUCUCGGAAAGCCGGUCUCAGUUCGGAUUGGGGUCUGCAACUCGACCUCAUGAAGUCGGAGUCGCUAGUAAUCGCAGAUCAGCAACGCUGCGGUGAAUACGUUCCCGGG
rnacentral:rRNA from 1 species